AUCUAUAUUUUGUAAUAUUAUAUGGAAGUAAAUUUAAACACAGGCUUUAUGAUGGUCUAUUAGGAGAAGUCCAGCUACCUGUUCCACAUGCUGGCAGUUUACACAGUUAAUUAAUUUCGUGCAACAUAGAUGUUCUGCUGUUUCAGUUUAGCAGACUUUAGAACCCACAUUAAAGAUACUCUGAGAUCUUUAUUUCCUUUCAGGGAAAAAGAAGAAAGUAGAAAUUACAUUUGGUUGGAUGAACACCCAAAUGAGUGCGAGCCUUUGUUUUAGCUGUUUGAGGCAGAGUGGUUGAAGAUGGAAGAUUGGAAGCUUGGAAGAUUCAUGUAAGAUUCAAGAUCACAGACAGUAGAAGAGGCUUGGCAAGUCAGAUGUAAUCCCGAAGUGACUCUGUCAUUUCACUCCUUCAGUUUUACCUGAAAUGCUACUGAGAGAGAAGGGACAACUGAGGCUGCUGCUGCUGCUGACAA